rnacentral:rRNA from 1 species
CCAAUAGCGUAUAUUAAAGUUGUUGCAGUUAAAAAGCUCGUAGUUGAAUUUUGGGUCUGGCCGGGCGGUCCGCCCUCCGGGUGAGCACUGUUCCGACGUCGGGCCUAUCCUUCUGGUGAGUCGGCAUGCCCUUUAGUGGGUGUGUCGGGGAACCAGGACCAUUACCUUGAAAAAAUUAGAGUGUUCAAAGCAGGCGUAUGCUCGGAUACAUUAGCAUGGAAUAAUGAAAUAGGACGCGUGGUGCUAUUUUGUUGGUUUCUAGAACCGCCGUAAUGAUUAAUAGGGUUAGUUGGGGGCAUUAGUAUUCAAUUGUCAGAGGUGAAAUUCUUGGAUUUAUUGAAGACUAACUUCUGCGAAAGCAUUUGUCAAGGAUGUUUUCAUUAAUCAAGAACGAAAGUUAGGGGAUCGAAGACGAUCAGAUACCGUCGUAGUCUUAACCAUAAACUAUGCCGACUAGGAAUCGGGCGAUGUUAUUCUCAUGACUCGCCCGGCGCCUUAUG